AAUGUGGCUCACAAUUUUGUUACAACAAAUUUCAACACUUCCUCAGGUUGAGAGAGAAUCAUAGAAAAACAAUCUACAGAUACAAAAAAAUGGCAAUAAUGAAGAAGUUGAAGAUGUUUGGGGCGCAAGAGCCAGUGGUUGCAGCCUCAUGUCUCCUUGCAGGAAUUGGGCUUUUCCUUCCAGCUGUGGUCAGACCAAUUCUGAACCCUCUGGAAACAACAACAAACCAAUUCCCACCACCUGUUUUCGCUCACAAUGUGGUACCAGGUAAGAAGAAAAUGGAGUAACCCACAAUCUGACGACCGGGUGAUUCUGCCUUUUCCUGCGGACUGAGAUUUACAUUUUUUUUUUUUUGAUGGCUCACAAAAUAAAACCAUUUUUCUACACUACCCGUCUGUACAUAGAAUUUCUAAAUACUUGUAGCAUCGAGCCGAUUGUUUUAUUUUCGGUUUUGCAAUUUUGUAAAUGAAUGAUUAGGGAACAUGAGAACAACUUUCAUGUCCUAUAAACAAUAAAAGUUUUGUUUCUUUA